rnacentral:rRNA from 1 species
UAUGGCGACCGGCGCACGGGUGAGUAACACGUAUCCAACCUACCGAUGACUCGGGGAUAGCCUUUCGAAAGAAAGAUUAAUACCCGAUGGCAUAGUUCUUCCGCAUGGUAGAACUAUUAAAGAAUUUCGGUCAUCGAUGGGGAUGCGUUCCAUUAGGUUGUUGGCGGGGUAACGGCCCACCAAGCCUUCGAUGGAUAGGGGUUCUGAGAGGAAGGUCCCCCACAUUGGAACUGAGACACGGUCCAA